CUAGUAUAAGCGAUUAUACAGCGAAACUGCGAAUGGCUCAUUAUAUAAGUUAUCGUCUAUUUGAUAGUACCUUACUACUUGGAUAACCGUGGUAAUUCUAGAGCUAAUACAUGCUGAAAAUCCCGACUUCGGAAGGGAUGUAUUUAUUAGAUUCAAAACCAAUGCCCUAUGGGCUCCUUGGUGAUUCAUGAUAACUCUUCGAAUCGCACGGCCUUGCGCCGGCGAUGGUUCAUUCAAAUUUCUUCCCUAUCAACUUUCGAUGUUUGGGUAUUGGCCAAACAUGGUCGCAACGGGUAACGGAGGGUUAGGGCUCGACCCCGGAGAAGGAGCCUGAGAAACGGCUACUACAUCCAAGGAAGGCAGCAGGCGCGCAAAUUACCCAAUCCCGAUUCGGGGAGGUAGUGACAAUAAAUACUGAUACAGGGCUCUUUUGGGUCUUGUAAUUGGAAUGAGUACAAUUUAAAUCCCUUAACGAGGAACAAUUAGAGGGCAAGUCUGGUGCCAGCAGCCGCGGUAAUUCCAGCUCUAAUAGCGUAUAUUAAAGUUGUUGUGGUUAAAAAGCUCGUAGUUGAAUCUUGGGCCUGGCUGGCCGGUCCGCCUCACCGCGUGCACUGGUCCGGCCGGGCCUUUCCCUCUGUGGAACCUCAUGCCCUUCACUGGGCGUGGCGGGGAAACAGGACUUUUACUUUGAAAAAAUUAGAGUGCUUCAGGCAGGCCUAUGCUCGAAUACAUUAGCAUGGAAUAAUAAAAUAGGACGUGUGGUUCUAUUUUGUUGGUUUCUAGGACCGCCGUAAUGAUUAAUAGGGACAGUCGGGGGCAUCAGUAUUCAAUUGUCAGAGGUGAAAUUCUUGGAUUUAUUGAAGACUAACUACUGCGAAAGCAUUUGCCAAGGAUGUUUUCAUUAAUCAGGAACGAAAGUUAGGGGAUCGAAGACGAUCAGAUACCGUCGUAGUCUUAACCAUAAACUAUGCCGACUAGGGAUCGGACGAUGUUAUUUUUUGACGCGUUCGGCACCUUACGAGAAAUCAAAGUGC
rnacentral:rRNA from 1 species